GAACAGGCAACCUCUCGGCUCCCGGGCCACCCACCCAUUCCUCCACCCCCCCCCCCUUACCUCAGCACGCAGCCCCUCCCUGCGUGAUGAUGCAAACCGGUGGGGAGGGCGGGCGCUGGGAAGGGUGGGGAGAGAUGGAUAGCAAGCAAGGGAGGGAGAGAGGGAGUGGGAGGAGGAGGAGGAGGAGGAGAGGGAGCCCAACGACCAUUUAAAGCGAUAGCAAUCCCUGCCCUCUCCCCAGUGCUUGGCUGUUGGAGAGCGCGAGCGGCAAGCCAGGGAGCGGGGAGCGCAAGCUGGUGCACGGGCCAGCGGAGCUACAGUGCCAGGUGCCAAAGACUGGCUGACGCCCUGGGACCCCCCACCCCUCUCCUGCUGCACCUCCUCUGUCUCCUCCACCCUCUGUGCCUACAGAAGUCCCCGGGGCUUCCCCCGAAAGGAGCUCACCUCGAGAAGCCGGGACCUGGGAGAGCCCACCAGCAUCCCCUCCAGCGCCGCCGCCGCUACCGCAGCAGCAUCCGGAGCGGCAUGGUCCAGCUGGGGAAGCUGCUCCGCGUCCUGACUUUGAUGAAGUUCCCCUGCUGCGUGCUGGAGGUGCUCCUGUGCGUGCUGGCGGCGGCGGCGCGCGGCCAGGAGAUGUACGCCCCGCACUCGAUCCGGAUCGAGGGGGACGUCACCCUUGGGGGGCUGUUCCCAGUGCACGCCAAGGGUCCCAGCGGAGUGCCCUGCGGCGACAUCAAGAGGGAGAAUGGGAUCCACAGGCUGGAAGCUAUGCUUUAUGCUCUCGACCAGAUCAACAGCGAUCCCAACCUGCUGCCCAACGUAACGUUAGGCGCGCGGAUCCUGGACACUUGUUCCAGGGACACUUAUGCGCUCGAACAGUCGCUCACUUUCGUCCAGGCGCUUAUCCAGAAGGACACCUCCGACGUGCGUUGCACCAACGGAGAGCCCCCGGUUUUCGUCAAGCCAGAGAAAGUAGUUGGAGUGAUUGGGGCUUCGGGGAGCUCCGUCUCCAUCAUGGUAGCCAACAUCUUGAGGCUUUUCCAGAUACCUCAGAUUAGUUAUGCAUCCACGGCUCCUGAACUCAGUGAUGACCGUCGCUAUGACUUCUUCUCUCGCGUGGUCCCACCUGAUUCCUUCCAAGCCCAAGCUAUGGUAGACAUUGUAAAGGCAUUGGGCUGGAAUUAUGUAUCUACUCUUGCAUCUGAAGGAAGCUAUGGAGAGAAAGGUGUGGAGUCCUUCACACAAAUUUCCAAAGAAGCAGGUGGACUCUGCAUUGCCCAGUCCGUGAGAAUUCCCCAAGAACGCAAAGACAGGACCAUUGACUUUGAUAGAAUUAUCAAACAGCUCUUGGACACCCCCAACUCCAGGGCUGUCGUGAUUUUUGCCAACGAUGAGGAUAUAAAGCAGAUCCUUGCAGCAGCCAAAAGAGCUGACCAAGUAGGACAUUUUCUCUGGGUUGGGUCAGACAGCUGGGGUUCCAAAAUCAACCCACUGCAUCAGCAUGAAGAUAUUGCAGAAGGAGCCAUCACCAUCCAACCUAAGAGAGCGACUGUGGAAGGAUUUGAUGCUUACUUCACAUCCCGGACACUUGAAAACAACAGGAGAAAUGUAUGGUUUGCCGAAUACUGGGAAGAAAACUUCAACUGCAAGUUGACAAUUAGUGGAUCCAAAAAAGAAGACACGGAUCGCAAAUGCACAGGACAGGAGCGAAUUGGAAAAGACUCUAAUUAUGAGCAGGAGGGUAAAGUACAGUUUGUGAUCGAUGCUGUCUAUGCCAUGGCACAUGCCCUUCAUCACAUGAAUAAGGAUCUGUGUGCUGACUACCGGGGAGUGUGCCCAGAAAUGGAGCAAGCAGGGGGCAAGAAGUUGUUGAAGUAUAUCCGCAAUGUUAACUUCAAUGGUAGUGCUGGAACCCCAGUGAUGUUUAACAAAAAUGGUGAUGCUCCAGGACGAUAUGACAUCUUCCAGUACCAGACAACAAACACUACCAAUCCUGGUUAUCGUCUCAUUGGGCAGUGGACAGAUGAACUGCAGCUCAAUAUAGAGGACAUGCAGUGGGGCAAAGGAGUCCGGGAGAUCCCACCCUCUGUGUGCACAUUGCCAUGCAAGCCUGGGCAGAGGAAGAAGACACAGAAGGGAACCCCUUGCUGCUGGACUUGUGAGCCCUGUGAUGGAUACCAGUAUCAAUUUGAUGAGAUGACAUGUCAGCAUUGUCCCUAUGACCAGAGGCCCAAUGAGAACCGAACUGGCUGUCAGAACAUCCCAAUCAUCAAACUGGAGUGGCACUCCCCCUGGGCUGUAAUUCCUGUCUUCCUGGCAAUGUUGGGGAUCAUUGCCACCAUCUUUGUCAUGGCAACCUUCAUCCGCUACAAUGAUACACCCAUCGUCAGGGCAUCUGGGCGGGAACUCAGCUAUGUUUUAUUGACAGGCAUCUUUCUCUGCUAUAUCAUCACCUUCCUAAUGAUUGCCAAGCCAGAUGUGGCAGUGUGUUCCUUCCGACGUGUCUUCUUGGGGUUGGGUAUGUGUAUUAGUUAUGCAGCCCUUUUAACAAAAACCAAUCGGAUUUAUCGCAUAUUCGAGCAGGGCAAGAAAUCGGUGACAGCUCCCAGACUCAUAAGCCCAACAUCACAACUGGCAAUUACCUCCAGUUUAAUAUCGGUGCAACUUCUAGGUGUCUUUAUUUGGUUUGGGGUUGACCCACCCAACAUCAUCAUAGACUACGAUGAGCAUAAGACAAUGAACCCAGAACAAGCCAGGGGAGUUCUCAAAUGUGACAUCACAGACCUUCAGAUCAUUUGUUCUUUGGGAUAUAGCAUUCUUCUCAUGGUCACAUGUACUGUGUAUGCCAUCAAGACUCGGGGUGUACCAGAGAAUUUUAAUGAAGCCAAGCCCAUUGGAUUCACUAUGUACACGACUUGUAUCGUAUGGCUUGCCUUCAUCCCAAUAUUUUUUGGCACAGCGCAAUCAGCAGAAAAGCUCUACAUACAAACCACCACGCUUACAAUCUCCAUGAACCUAAGUGCAUCAGUGGCGCUGGGGAUGCUAUACAUGCCGAAAGUGUACAUCAUCAUUUUCCACCCUGAACUCAAUGUCCAGAAACGGAAGCGAAGCUUCAAGGCCGUAGUCACAGCAGCCACCAUGUCAUCGAGGCUGUCACACAAACCCAGUGACAGGCCCAAUGGUGAGGCAAAGACAGAACUUUGUGAAAAUGUAGACCCAAACAACUGUAUACCACCAGUAAGAAAGAGUGUACAAAAGUCCGUAACUUGGUACACUAUCCCACCAACAGUAUAGCUUUUGACUGCUUUCCAAAAGGAAAGUUUUAUGGCUGGGAUUAAUAAUCUGUCAGUCAUAGUUGUCUGAGAAAUCAAACCAACUUUAGUGCUCUCUGAAACUAGAGAAGGGGUCAAAGAAAGAUAACAAAGGUCUAAAUAAAGUUCCAAAAUUAGCCAGAGGGUUUGCCAAUCAAUAUCAUGGUAUUGAAAACAAUGGAUUAUGUAACUAUAUCAAAUGGUCUUAUGAAUGAACUUUCUCAAAGCAUCAAUUGACUGAUGACUCAUGCUCAUAUAUUACUUUGUUACCCCAUUAGUCAACACAUGCUUGAAGAGACUAUUCUUAGUGGUGCUACUAGCUUUAUCAUUUCUGAAUAUCAGCUAAGCAAAUGGAAUCACAGUAAAAAACAACUCUCCUUUCAAGCAGUUUUGUUAAAUGGAUUCAGGGUCUUCUACAUGGUAGGAAAAAUAAAGAGUAGAGUUCAUGGAGAGGGAUGUGAAAAGGUAGGAGAAAUGCCUCCACAGCUAAGAAUGUGCAGUGCUCUUAUACAAGACUUGAGUUCAAUUUCCAGCAUUUAGAUUGAUUGGAAGGCUUACAACUACUGCCAACUUUACUCUAAGAAUCUGAUGCUCUCUUCCGGCCCCCAUGAAUAUCAGAACUUGCAUGUACAUAAAUACACACACACACUCACAGUUAAAUAUAAAAUAAGUUUUAAAAUAGGUAGUGGCAUAUACCCAGAAGAAGUUCCAACUAGUAAUGAGAACACAUGCUCCACUAUGUUCAUAGCAGCCUUAUUUAUAAUAGCCAGAAGCUGGGAGGAACCCAGAUGUCUCUCAACAGAAGAAUGGAUACAGAAAAUGUGGUGCAUUUACACAAUGGAGUAAUACUCAGCUAUUAAAAACAAUGGAUUUAUGAAAUUCUUGGACAAGUGGAUGUAUCUGGAGGAUAUCAUCCUUAGUGAGGUAACCCAAUCACAAAAGAAGUCAUUAGAUAUGCACUCACUGAUAAGUGGAUAUUAGCCCAGAAACAUAGAACACCCAAGAUACAAUUUGCAAAACACAAGAAAAUCAAGAAGAGGGAAGACCAAUGGGUGGAUACUUCAUUCCUCCUUAGAAUAGGGAACACAAUAUCCAUGAAAGGAGUUACAGAGACCAAGUUUGGAGCUAAGACAAAAGGAUGGACUAUCCAGAGACUACCCCACCUGGAGAUCCAUCCCAUAAUUAGCCACUAAACCCAGACACUAUUGAAUAUGCUAGAAAGAUUUUGCUGAAGGGACCCUGUUAUACCUGUCUCGUAUGAGGCUAGCCAGUGCCUGGCAAAUACAGAAGUGGAUGCUCACAGGCAUCUAUAAGAUGGAACACAGGGACCCCAAUGGAGAAGAUAGAUAAAGCACCCAAGAAACUGAAGGGGUCUGCAACCCUAUAGGUGGAACAACAAUAUGAACUAACCAGUAACCUCAGAGCUCAUAUCUCUAGCUGCAUAUGUAGCAGAAGAUGGCCUAGUCGGCCAUCACUGAGAAGAGAGGUCCCUUGGUAUUGCAAACUUUAUGUGCUUCAGUACAGGGGAACGCCAGGGCCAAGAAGCAGGAGUGGGUGGAUAGGGGAGCAAGGCGGAGGGAGUGUAUAGGGAACAUUCAGGAUAGCAUUUGAAAUGUAUAUAAAGACAAUAUCUAAUAAAAAAAGAAAAAAAAAGAUUUCCUUCUGAUUGUAUCUAAACACAACAGCUGGAAGGCCUAUCUUUAGAGCUCUAGGAAAGUGAGACCCUGUCAUGGAAAGUAACAUUUUGUUUAGCAAUAUUUAGCUACUUUCUCUUUGUGUGUCUCUAUCAUGGGACUUCUGUAAGAUCACUGCCUAACUCCUACAAUGUGAUUUUUUUAAAUGAUAUUCUGCAUGCAAAUAGUAUCUUGGCCUUAAACAUUCUACUUAGUACUCAAAGACAGGAUACAAUUAAUUUCAGAGAGUAAUUACAUUUCUUGUUGAUUUUAGAUGGAUAUAACAUCUCAGUCAUUCAUUUCAGAUGUAUUGUCUCCAUAGUUAUUUCCUUUUCCCGUAUCCACAUGAACUGUCCUAGAUUUUAAAUAGGGCAUUCUUCCCUAUAGUGAAUAUAUAACUGUACCCCAGUGAGAUUUCAAGUCUCUGCAGUACAAGUGCUUGUCAAAACACUGCAGCGCAGCUCCUCAUUUAACAGUUCUUUUACAGGAGACUUCCUGAAAAUAAAUGAGAAAGAAUUAUCCCCAGGAAAAAAAAAAGAUAGAUUAAAUAUCCAUCUACUAAAAAUUCUUCUUAGCUCCAUUCUCAGUUGGUGUCUUUUGGUUUAAAGGAAGAAAUAGGAAACUGUGAGGUUUACCUUUCAGUUAAAAAGUACUGCUAGGGCUAUGCAUUUUGGCUCAGCAGGUAAGGGAGCUUGCGGCCAAGACUGAUGACCUCCAUUACACCCUGAGAUCUACCUGGUAGGAGAACAGAGUCUCUGAGGUGGUCCUGUGACCUAUACACACACACACACACACACACACACACACACACACACACAAAUGUAAUACAAAUUACAAAUUUAGAAACAAAUUCUGCUAGGAAAAGAUGCUUAGCAACAAAACCAACCUUUGUUCUUGGCUUAUUUGUCUUCCCAGACUCUGAUUAGUGAGGUUCUGAGAGUGUGUGCAGAGAGCUCAUAUCACAGGAUUCGGAAUGUAGACUGGUCUUUCUUUUUUUCCAUGCCACAAUCAGGGCACAUUUGUUCGCUCAUUACUGUUUUUUUCCCCCAUGUUUUUCUUUGAUGGUCCAACAGACACUAGAAAUAUUUGUACUUGAUUUUCUUUUCUGAUCAGUUAAUAUAUAUAUAUUUCCUUCAAAAAAUAAUUGGGAAUUGACAGUGGUCCAAGCCGAAGGUUUUAAAAGACUACGCACCAACUGUUCACCUUAACAAUGAAAGCUACCUACAUCUGGAGGUCAACCAGGGGAAUGGCUCAGGACUCCAUGUUUGAAUUCAUUUCUGUGUGGUGGUAUUCAGGGAGAUGAAAUGGUAAAGAGAAACCACAGGUGUAAGUGUGACUUUUGUGCUAAUUUGCCUUUAAAACCUCACUUCAGCCACUUUCUCCCAACAAAGACAGAUCAUAUGAAGCAAGUCUGUCUGGCCUUUGCUUCUAAGAGACGGAAGGAAACAAAGUCAGACAGAAAGAAAAAUAACAUGGCUAGAAAAUGUGUUUUAUAUAAGGGUUCUGUUUUAAAAGUGUCCUCUCUGGCAGAUGCCCAGCCUGAUGUCAGCAAACUCAACAUGGCUUCCUCUUUUCAUUUAUGUGUUUAUAAAUGUUAUAACUGUGAAAAAUGCUAUCAGUCUAACACCAGUUAUUUUAAAAUCUAGUUAAAGAAGGAAGGAAGGAAGGAAAAAGAGACUGAUCCUAUACUAUACCCAGGCCAGGAAAUAUGUUUUUUCUGUAUCAUAAUAUCAUACUAAGAUGCUGGUGUGAUUACAAAGCAUUAGGCUCAUCCCUGCCUUACAUAUAUGGGUAUAAUAACCUUGACUUACAUAUAUGCACAGUUUUGUUCUUCAGAGCAUGUAUUCAAGUUUUAAUAGUAUUAAGAUCACAAUUUAUGGAACUGUAUUUUUUACAAACAUUUUUUUUAUUAUUAGGUAUUUUCCUCAUUUACAUUUUCAAUGCUAUCCCAAAGGUCCCCCAUACCCACCCCCACCCCAAUCCCCUACUGUAUUUUUUAAGUUAAUAAGGCCUGGGAAGAUGGCUCAGUUGGUAAAUCACUAGCUGUCCAAGCAUAAACUUUGGAUCACUAGUACUUGAGCAAAUUCCUGAUGAUAUAACAGCCCACCUACAGUCUUAGCUGUUGGGAGGGGAAAUAUGGGAUCCUCAAAGCAAGCUGGCUAACAAGCUCUGGGUACAGCCAAAGACCCUGCCUCAGUAAAGAAACAAACAAACAAAACUGAUCAAGAAGGACAAUGGCUAUAAAACUCUGACUUCCACAUGUGGGUGCCCAAACAUGCACACUCACACACUUACUUGCACACCUGUAAAUUCAUGGGUAUGACACAUAUAUACACAUGUGCCAAAUAAGGACAUCUUAAUAAUAAUUUGAUCCUUAUCAUUAAUAUGUGGGAGUUCUUUAGUACUUGAAGCUUUUAAGAACUUUGCCAUACAAAGCUUUACAUCCAAUUGAGAUUCUUUCUCUUUAACAUUCAAUGUGGUACCCUAGUUUAAACAGGAGACCACUUCAAUUUGAAAUCUACUUUAGAACACUCUCUGAGUAUAACACAGCAAAGAAUACAAGGCUACCCCACUGUUGACACAGAAUCACCUCAGAAAUAAAUGCAGCUAUAAAUCUCAUCAGGACCGAUCUCACAGUACAUGCUCAGAAACCAGUUAAUACCUGCCCCCUUAGCUCUGCAGCUCACAUCCCACUUAAACAAUGAGAUGAAAGCACACAUAGCCAGUACUCUUACUAGAAGAGUUAUACACAGCAUGCCAUUACUUCAUGGAAACUGCAUCACAGGGUACAUUCAACCACUGCCCUGCUCUGUCUCAUCAAGAUAUAUGAACCCAGGGGACUUCUGUUAAGGGGGGACAAUCAAAUGAAUGCCUCAGAAGCUUUAGCCAGAGCCAGCCGUGAGGUGACAUGAAUGAGAGACAGAAAUGGACAAGGCCUUCAGGGAGUUCACACAUGAUGGAGAAUGCUAAGGUAAGCAAUUUCAAUUCCAGAUGAUGUGGGCUUUUAUUGCAGGAAUAUUGGUUGCCCACCUAAUGGUGGAGAGCGCCAUGUUCCAUCCUGUAUGCAAUGUGGCACACACUCUUGAAACAGGGAGGAUUCUGCACAAAUAAUUUGGAGGAUAAAAAUAGUGGGGCAUGUUUAGAGACUAGAAAUAGUUCUGCAGUGCUGCUCUAUCACAGUUAUGGAUAUGUGGUCUUAGAGAACGGCAUCCACGAUGCAGCCUGAGUGACUUUGUGAGGGCUGGAGUUUCCUUUAUCUCUGUACUUUUGUAUAGUAAACUGGUGAAUUCCAGGCUUUCAGCCUUACCUAGAACCUGUUAAGUAUACAGCUAAGGGGUAGACAGGUAAAAGAAUGAAUGAGAAAAUGUUCAGUCUGUAAACUCAGAAGGUGGGAUUGUACCCUUCAAGACAGAAAGAGAGAGAGAGAGAGAGAGAGAGAGAGAGAGAGAGAGAGAGAGAGAGAGAGAGAGAGAGAGAGAGAAAGCCCUCAAGGUCAAUAGAAUGAAGAGGCUACUUUUAUGUUGUGGUCAGGUUUCAAAUUUUUGUUCUGGUUUAAUGUGAAAAUCCUGAAAUUGAUAUCAGUACUGUGUCUGCAUUUAUGAAGUUAACCUUUCUUUUGAUGCACUAAGCCAACAUACAAAAUCAACAAAGUUUGUGUCUAUCUCUCUCCUCUGUGACUAAAAAUUACUACACCAUUUAUCAUUCCAGUCACAUAUGAACUUGGCAGUUCCCACUGGCGGUGCGUUUGAGAUGGCAAUAUGGCUCAGUGGUUAACAGCAAUCACUUCUCUGGCAGAGGACAUGGGUUCACUUCCUAGAACCCACAUGGUAACUCACAACCACAUAUAUCUUCUGGCAUAGUGGGCCCAAUACCCAUUUCUAGUCACUGUGGACUGUCACAUGCAUACUGCACACUCAGACUUACUCAGGCUCACACACAUAUAUCAAGUUUAAAAUGUAAUGUUUUUAGAGUUUUCUUUGGUGGAUAACUGGUAGCUUUCUAAUCACCUGAGUGGGUUUUUUUUUUUCCAGAGACAGUCAUUGAAGACAAGUUUUGUCUUUUAGAACCAAAUGUCAUUUUAAUUUAAAAAGAAAAAUGUGUGUUCUUAGCCAAGGUCAGCUUAUUUCUUAAAAUUCUCUCCUAUCCAAGUGCUAUGAGGAAGGCUCAUCUCAAAAUUCAACUGAUGAUUCUUUUCUGGUUUCUAACUACUAAAGAUGUACCUCACCUUUGCAGAUUCUCUCUCUCUCUCUCUCUCUUUCUCUCUCUCUCUCUCUCUCUCUCUCUCUCUCUCUCUCUCUCUCUCUCUCUCCCUCUCUCUCUCUCUCUCUCUGAACUGAAGCUUGGACACAUGUUAAGUUAACUUUCUCUUGGAAUCACAGGUAAUCAUCAUUUCCUUUAUGAUCUACAUGAAUAUUCACAUAAUUUAUUUUGCCUUUUCAAAUUGAAGAUUGGAUUUGAAUCCCUUUUUUUCUAUCUGUCCUUUCUCAGAGCAUCUCCAAGGUCUCAACUUGUACAAGGAGGGUGCUAGAGCAAUUUCCCACCCACUGGUGUUCUUGCUUAGCUGACCCAAACCCUUAGAUGAUUUUAAUGUGAACAACUACUUCACAUCGGAACGAGUGAAGGAUACUGCAACUUGCUCACUCCCCUAUUGGCUGUUUUGUCUGCAUCUUCUUUCUGUAACACUCCCAUAAUAAGUUUGUGUCAAACAAUCCUCUUGCAUCUGAUUUUUGUCUGGAAAAAAACCUGUGAGAUUUUCAGAUGGAAAUAUCAAUAAACCACAUGACCUGUCUUCAA